UACAGAGGUCUCAAGCGUUGUUCGGAUUCAUUGGGCGUAAAGGGUGCGUAGGUGGCGCGCUAAGUCAGGUGUGAAAUUUCGGAGCUUAACUCCGAAACUGCAUUUGAUACUGGCGUGCUUGAGGACUGGAGAGGAGACUGGAAUCAUGGUGUAGCAGUGAAAUGCGUAGAGAUCAUGAGGAAGACCAGUGGCGAAGGCGGGUCUCUGGACAGUUCCUGACACUGAGGCACGAAGGCCAGGGGGAGCAAAACGGG
rnacentral:rRNA from 1 species